UUGCUGGAGGUAUCAGAAGUGCGAAUGCUGACAUAAGUAACGAUAAAGCGGGUGAAAAGCCCGCUCGCCGGAAGACCAAGGGUUCCUGUCCAACGUUAAUCGGGGCAGGGUGAGUCGACCCCUAAGGCGAGGCCGAAAGGCGUAGUCGAUGGGAAACGGGUUAAUAUUCCCGUACUUGGUGUUACUGCGAAGGGGGGACGGAGAAGGCUAUGUUGGCCGGGCGACGGUUGUCCCGGUUUAAGCGUGUAGGCUGGUUUUCCAGGCAAAUCCGGAAAAUCAAGGCUGAGGCGUGACGACGAGGCACUACGGUGCUGAAGCAACAAAUGCCCUGCUUCCAGGAAAAGCCUCUAAGCAUCAGGUAACAUCAAAUCGUACCCCAAACCGACACAGGUGGUCAGGUAGAGAAUACCAAGGCGCUUGAGAGAACUCGGGUGAAGGAACUAGGCAAAAUGGUGCCGUAACUUCGGGAGAAGGCACGCUGACAUGUAGGUGAAGUGAUUUACUCAUGGAGCUGAAGUCAGUCGAAGAUACCAGCUGGCUGCAACUGUUUAUUAAAAACACAGCACUGUGCAAACACGAAAGUGGACGUAUACGGUGUGACGCCUGCCCGGUGCCGGAAGGUUAAUUGAUGGGGUCAGCGCAAGCGAAGCUCCUGAUCGAAGCCCCGGUAAACGGCGGCCGUAACUAUAACGGUCCUAAGGUAGCGAAAUUCCUUGUCGGGUAAGUUCCGACCUGCACGAAUGGCGUAAUGAUGGCCAGGCUGUCUCCACCCGAGACUCAGUGAAAUUGAACUCGCUGUGAAGAUGCAGUGUACCCGCGGCAAGACGGAAAGACCCCGUGAACCUUUACUAUAGCUUGACACUGAACAUUGAGCCUUGAUGUGUAGGAUAGGUGGGAGGCUUUGAAGCGUGGACGCCAGUCUGCGUGGAGCCGGCCUUGAAAUACCACCCUUUAAUGUUUGAUGUUCUAACGUGGACCCGUAAUCCGGGUUGCGGACAGUGUCUGGUGGGUAGUUUGACUGGGGCGGUCUCCUCCUAAAGAGUAACGGAGGAGCACGAAGGUUGGCUAAUCCUGGUCGGACAUCAGGAGGUUAGUGCAAUGGCAUAAGCCAGCUUGACUGCGAGCGUGACGGCGCGAGCAGGUGCGAAAGCAGGUCAUAGUGAUCCGGUGGUUCUGAAUGGAAGGGCCAUCGCUCAACGGAUAAAAGGUACUCCGGGGAUAACAGGCUGAUACCGCCCAAGAGUUCAUAUCGACGGCGGUGUUUGGCACCUCGAUGUCGGCUCAUCACAUCCUGGGGCUGAAGUAGGUCCCAAGGGUAUGGCUGUUCGCCAUUUAAAGUGGUACGCGAGCUGGGUUUAGAACGUCGUGAGACAGUUCGGUCC
rnacentral:rRNA from 1 species